rnacentral:rRNA from 1 species
AACGAACGCUGGCGGCGUGCCUAACACAUGCAAGUCGGACGGGUCCCGAUGAAGUAGCAAUACUUCAUCGGGAUUAGUGGCGGACGGGUGAGUAACACGUAGGCAACUUACCCUUGAGAGCGGGACAACCCCGAGAAAUCGGGGCUAAUACCGCAUAAGACCACAGGCUGAGAAGUCAGUGGUAAAAGGAGCAAUCUGCUCAAGGAUGGGCCUGCGGCCUAUCAGGUAGUUGGUAGGGUAAAGGCCUACCAAGCCAAAGACGGGUAGCCGGGCUGAGAGGUCGGACGGCCACACUGGAACUGAGACACGGUCCAGACUCCUACGGGAGGCUG